UACGAAGGACCCGAGCGUUAUCCGGAUUUAUUGGGUUUAAAGGGUGCGUAGGCGGAUUGAUAAGUCAGUGGUGAAAGCCCGUCGCUUAACGGCGGAACUGCCAUUGAUACUGUCAGUCUUGAGUAUGGUUGAGGUGGGCGGAAUGUGUCAUGUAGCGGUGAAAUGCUUAGAUAUGACACAGAACACCAAUUGCGAAGGCAGCUCGCUAAACCAUAACUGACGCUGAUGCACGAAAGCCAGGGGAGCGAACGGG
rnacentral:rRNA from 1 species